rnacentral:rRNA from 1 species
CCUACGGGAGGCUGCAGUGAGGAAUAUUGGUCAAUGGGCGCAAGCCUGAACCAGCCAUGCCGCGUGCAGGAUGAAGCAUCUAUGGUGUGUAAACUGCUUUUGUACGGGAAGAAACAACUCUUCGUGAAGAGUCUUGACGGUACCGUAAGAAUAAGGAUCGGCUAACUCCGUGCCAGCAGCCGCGGUAAUACGGAGGAUCCAAGCGUUAUCCGGAAUCAUUGGGUUUAAAGGGUCCGUAGGCGGUUUUAUAAGUCAGUGGUGAAAUCCGGUAGCUCAACUAUCGAACGGCCAUUGAUACUGUAGAACUUGAAUUAUUGUGAAGUAACUAGAAUAUGUAGUGUAGCGGUGAAAUGCUUAGAUAUUACAUGGAAUACCAAUUGCGAAGGCAGGUUACUAACAAUCGAUUGACGCUGAUGGACGAAAGCGUGGGGAGCGAACAG